rnacentral:rRNA from 1 species
GAUGAACGCUGGCGGCGUGCUUAACACAUGCAAGUCGAACGAUGAAGCCCAGCUUGCUGGGUGGAUUAGUGGCGAACGGGUGAGUAACACGUGAGUAACCUGCCCUUAACUCUGGGAUAAGCCUGGGAAACUGGGUCUAAUACCGGAUAGGAGCGUCCACCGCAUGGGGGGUGUUGGAAAGAUUUAUCGGUUUUGGAUGGACUCGCGGCCUAUCAGCUUGUUGGUGAGGUAAUGGCUCACCAAGGCGACGACGGGUAGCCGGCCUGAGAGGGUGACCGGCCACACUGGGACUGAGACACGGCCCAGACUCCUACGGGGGGCAGCAGUGGGGAAUAUUGCACAAUGGGCGCAAGCCUGAUGCAGCGACGCCGCGUGAGGGAUGACGGCCUUCGGGUUGUAAACCUCUUUCAGUAGGGAAGAAGCGAAAGUGACGGUACCUGCAGAAGAAGCACCGGCUAACUACGUG